AUGCGGGGCGCCCACUGCCCAGGCCCCGCCCACCCGAGGACGCAUCACGGGAGCGGCAUUUACCUCGCUGUAUCCUGUGCGCCCUCUCGGUCCUGGCGGAGGGCCUGGGGGUGCCUCCCGUCAGGGCUCAGAGGGACUAAUGAUGCUUGCCUCUCGCCCCCUCUCUCCCCCCUCCCCGCACCUGCACUGCCCCCCAGGGACGCUCCGGACGCAGGCCCACCAGGGAGACUUCAUCUGCGUGGAGUGUGGGAAGAGCUUCCACCAGCCCAGCCACCUGCGGGCGCACAUGCGGGCUCACACAGGGGAGAGACCAUUCUAACGCAGAUGCUGUCCAAACAGUGCCUCUCAGAAAGGGAACCUAGAGAUACACUUGGUCAGUUCUGGUGCCGUGACCUCGUCCGCAGCCCCCUCCUGGACGUCCCAACAGCCACCCUGGCUGCCCCAUGGAAGACCCCCCCAGCCGGACACCGCCUCGCAUCCUGCAGCCGCCCGCCGGAGCGGAAGCUGAAGGGGGGCUUCUUGUCACGUGUCUAAACAUCGGUGAAGAUGCUCUUCUUAGAAUUACAUGUAGAUAUUCUAUACGCAUCCACGUGCUCACCAACCAUAGUCCGUGUUUUUUUACAGUAAGCGAGGUGUUGGCAGGCACGGUAGGAACACAGAGCAUCUGUAUCAUUCAAGACAUGUUCGAGACACUGGAAAGAUGCUCGUGUGUCGGACAGACUGGAGCAGCCACGCAGGAUUUUGGAGGACCGCGGGGGUGACGUCGGGACUGACGGCGGGGGGCCAGGAGGGCGGGGUGCUGAUGGAUGCCCCGGCCUGUCCGCGUCUUAGUGCGUAUUUAAAAUAGUAAAUAAGAGGCAGGACGGGCGUUCAGGUGCUGUGGAAGCAGGCUGGAAGGGGCGGCGGGGGGCCCGGGUGACAAGGUCCUCCGUUUUCAGGGGUCCCACCACCUGUCCCAGCUGAGUUCCCCUCCCAUCUGUGCCCAGUGAACCCGAAAGAGGUGACGCGGCCAUGGGAAGGCUUUGACUGUGUUUCGGGAAAGAGCACUAGUUGAACACUAAGAAAAGCAGGCUUCUUUGUUUAUUCUCAGGACCUUCUGGUAACAGGGCUACAUUCUGCAAACUGCUUACAACGGAAGACUGCCCGUCUUAACAAAUGAUCUAGCCACUGAACCCCCCCACCCCCGACCUGGACCCUUUGAGUCAAGCGGGAGAACCCCUGGAGCAGGUGGGGGGCCAGGUCAUCCCUGGGCCCUGGCACUCUGGGGUCCUCCUGCACCCCUGCCUUCCCGUCCAUCUGUCCCAGCAAGUAGGCAUCUUUUCUUCUCGGGCCUGGGGGACUCGUUCCCAGACCGGGGAAGCCCCCAGGCCCGUAGGUGGGGGCGGCUUUACAUACCUCUUCCUCAGUCACACAGAGGCAAGUUUUAGCGGGGGGUUAAGGCCCGUAAGAAAGGAUCUUACGCCUUGCAGUGUAUGCAGUUAAAAUUGUACUCCGCAGAGAUAAAUGUUUUCUUUUCCCAUCGCCAUGACACUGUGUGUGAUGGCGGGGUUUCUGAGACGUUCAGGUUUUUGCACAUAGUGAUCUUAUGCAUUAUCACAAGUUACUGCUGCCUUGAAUGAAAAUGUUCUGUGAAAGUUUUUGCAAAAGCUUUACUAGGUUUUUUUUUUUUUAAUUGUGAAAUUUUGUAAAGGCAGGAAACGGAUUAAAACGAGCAUGCUAAAUAUAUUUUUCAAAAAAGCAAUAAUUUUACGUGUACAGAAAUUAUCCUAACCUUUAAUACUGGUGAGAGCGACAGUUUACUUAAUUCAGUAAUGGAUUAGUGCAGUUUUUGUAGAAAUGGGCUUCGGAUACAAAGAAUUGUUUAAACACACACACAUACAAACCCUGAAGUGUGGUUUUCCUGUUCUAAUGAUUUGUUGAAUUAUAUUAUUAUUAUUAUUAUUGUUAUUGUUGUUGUUCUUAGUUAAUGUUUGGUUCUGGAUUCUACUUGUUACUGAAUUUAAAUUACUUGACGGUUCAGGUUACUUUGCAGCAUUUGCAAACGAUGCAAUGUAACUGGCUAGCUUAUAUCUAUAAAUAUAUAUACAUGUAUGUACACACACAUAUAUAUGCAUAUAUGUGUAUGUAUAUAUAUAUAACUUUUUUACUUAUUUUUUCCUGAUAUUCUUACACGAGAUAUGUUGCAGAAUGACCUGUCGUGUUGGUGUCAUUAGGGAUGUCCAUGCAGAUAUGAUCAGCGGCUGUAAUUGACUGUCCUGUCAAGUUACUUUGAACAAAGCCACAAAGACACAUUCCUUUGUUCACGCUGGGAAUCAGAAUGCCUUUCUGUCGACUUACGUUUGAUCACGUCUGUAGUCUCCCCGCAGUGAUCAUUUCUGCAUUUUCUGGCUUUUAUUUUCUUGGCUGACAGUGAAGGGUGACAGUUCAGGGCCUGCUGUUUCUCUGUGUUUCAGUUAUUAAAGGAGCUCUGUACACAACGUGGCACGGAGGAGUUGCCUAUGCGUGCACCUUCGGAGCCACAGACGGCAUCCUGGGAGUCCCUCUGUGGGCAGCCUGCUGGAAGGGGUGCGUCCUGGGGCCCCGUUGGCCCGGACACAUGGCCCGAGCCAGUUGGAAUACGUGUUUCUGCCCGGAGCACAGAAAUAAAGUUUUCACUUCAUUCA
rnacentral:lncRNA from 1 species